rnacentral:lncRNA from 1 species
UACAAGAUACUAUCUUAAAGAUGUGUUUAUUGCCGAGUUAGUGUUGGUUUUAGUGCUUUUGCACACGUUCAACCAAUAAUCAGCACAAAUAGCCCUAACCUUUUCUAUUUUUGUUUUUUUUUAUGAUAAAAAUAGUCAUUGGUUGCCUGACUGGACAUCUAUCAACUAAUCAGAAAUUGAAAAUAUUUGAUUUAUUUACCGUGUAAUUGUGGUUUAGAAGAAGGUGUCAAUUUCAUUUUAUAGUCAAAUUCGCUCAACUGGAAAAAUAAACACUUCCGAUAAUCUUCAAUGAUUGCACUUAUAACAUUAAUCGUGAAGUAGGAAAAAACAAAUCAGGAGUUAAAAUAUUUAUUAAUUCCGAUUAAUUGGCGUUUGACGUAAACUAUAGUAAAGUAAAGGUACAUUUUAUGUUCUAUAUCCGCAAUGGAAAACAUAUAAAAUCCCUAGCAUUCAUUAAGUUUCCAAAUUUCAAAACAUCAAGGAUCGGGUCAAGAUGAACAUUUUCAAAUUUAGUUUAAUUUUGUUACUUGUAUGUUCAACUACUGCUAGACGAAAACGACAUGCUCAUAGAUGCCGUGAAGAAGUUGAUCUCGAAAAAUGCGGUAGGUAAUUCACUGUACCAUGAAAGAUUUUAAAGAUUUUUAUAUAUAUAUAUAACAGAGUUAAGCACUUCUAUGCUAUGAAACUAAUUCAAAGCAUUGCGGUUUAAGUCACGAGUCAAAAUAUCAACAAAUCCAUGUUUUUCCUACAUUUCGUAUCAAAAUAAAAAAAAUGCAUUUUGAAAUUUAUUUAUUAUGUAUUAAAAAACAAACAACACACCACAUAAAUCACACAAUGUUAUUCAGGUUUUAUUUGAAUUUUGUAAUUUAUUUUAUUUUUUAUGUAUGUAAUUUUCAACUUUUUAAAUACAUAUUGCAAUUUUUACAUUGUUAUGAAGUGUCGUUUCUUACCGGUGUUUUAUUUUAACAAAAUGUUUUUGAAAUUAUGGUUUUUGAAAUGAAUUAUGAACAAGAGUGGGGAGUUGGAUACAAUUUAAAUGUCAAUAAGGAGGAAAAACUUUUAUUAAUAAAAAAAAAUCAAGUCAUCUGCAGGUUAAUAUUUUAUGCUUUUUACAUAAAUCCUUCAAUUCAAUUCAUAGUAAUCGAUGGUGUUAUGCACAUUAAAUUGUUAUUAUCUUUUUGUUUAUUAUUUUUAAUCAAAUUUUAUUUCAUAUUUAUGUCGUGACGAAUUUGAUAUUAGGUAGACGAUAGAUAUAUAAUGAGUUUUAUACAAGAGUAAAUUUAAACUCUGUUGUGUAUUUUAUCCAUUUUUACUUCUUGGGCAUAAAUUAAUAUUGAGAUAUUUGGUUUAACCCUUAUAGAAUAUAACCUGUCCAUGCAUGGUUUCGACCACUAUCUGAAUCAAAAUGAAGUUGGAUAUGGUGAUAUACUCUGUAUGGUAAGUCUUUGUUUAAUCAGUCAAAAUAACGGACGAAUAACUAAAGCAAUGCCAGUGAAAACGAAACUAUGUUGGCUAUCAAGCCUUUGUAGCAAACCUGCUCAGUCAAAAUCUCGAAACCCACCAAUUCUUCUAUUGCAACAUUUGAAUUAGAUUUUUCAUCGACUUUGUACUUACACGACGAAUGUCAUUUGUGGAUUAUGAUCGUGAUGCUAAGACUUUGGUUUACUAUAAGUUGAUUGUAUGCUUCUAAAUGAUAGUUUCUCUUCGAAUUAUGAAAAGUUGAAUGUCUUCUUGGUACCUUUCAAUAUAAUUAAAGAAAUCACAAACAAGUAACACACGAUUAUAAUUACAAGUGACAUCUUGUUAAAGAACACUUUAUAGCCGGUGCAUAGAGUUGUUCUACCUACAAGAUGUAUGUGUAAUGAUAAAAAAAAACUCAAAAGACUUUGUGAAGAUCUUAAGCAGAAUUCCAUUUACUACAUUUUGUACAUGACUCAAUUUAAGACACCAGUUAACAUUUUCGAUAUCUGGUUGACCAAAACUUUCUUUAAUUUAAAGCAAUCAAAAGACAACAGCGCCUUAUUAUAACUAAAAAUUACUUGUUCUUGUAAAAGAAUUAAUUUAUUACAGAUCUACAUAUUACCUAAAAAGCGUAUUUUCAAUAAUCUGUUUGUCUAUAAAGACGUCAAAAAGUGUGCUUAAAAGCUUACAAAGAAGAUUUCUUUUUCGUACAAAAUGACUGUGUAAAACGAAGGAAUUAUUAAUAAGGACUUAAUCGGAGUACUUGGAACGUGUGAUAUCAGUUAAUAAUAGCUUACAUGAAUUUUCAUGAUUGACGUGUUUGAAACAGCGUCCUAUUGAUAAUUAUCAACAAAAAUACGAGGCUCGUUUUUUACGUGAACGCGCAUUCCGUCUAAACCAGACUCGUCAUUUUGCAUAAAUCAAUUAUAUAUGGUAGCAUAGGGUAAAAACUUCACUAUUGAAUUUCGACUAUGAUGUCAGUUAACCUAUGUUGUUUUAAUAAAAUAUAUGUAUUGGGUUUUCUCAACUGUGUUUAUAAAUGCUAAUCAGAUUGGUGUGUUUAUUACUAUGUUAGUUGUUUUUUACAGAUUAAAUGGUUACGUGAUCAUAUGGGAAUUCAUAUACCACAACGACGUUUGUGAUGGAAUUCCAAAAAAGGAAACGGAUUGUCUUUUCGUUAUUGGUGCUAUCCUGUUCAAGUUCUAAAAUGCCAAAUGAC